UGAAAUGUCAGAUUAAACUAAAAAAGUUGAAGUGCGAAGUUAGAAUACCAAAUGUUAUAUUAAGCAUUAAUUAUAUAAAACUAUAAAGUUUAAGAAUAUUACUCCAUUUCAACUUUUAUGACAAGACUUUGUUGGGCCCAAAAGACCAGUAAUACGGCAUCGUCUUAUUCUACUAUAUUUACGUGUAUUUUUCUUUUUCGCUCAAAGCCUUUCCUUUUUGAUAAUCGGAACUUCACUUGACAAAACGACGAUCAAGGUCCACAUGAAACGCAGAUCCGAUUUCAUUCUCUUUUUACACUAUACUUGGAUCAUCUCCAGUUUUUUAACGGUUCGUUGAGGCCCUUGAAACUCUUGUUAGUGCUUUGACACCAAUUGAUCAUGCAAAAGGGCCCACGAACGGGGUUCAGCCAGCUUUAAUGAAUACUGAUUUGCUUUCCCAAGAAUCAGAGAGCAUUGCUCUUCCACUAAGUUUGCCGGUUAGAGUUCUUUGUAUCAGAGAGCUCCUUACUUGACUCGUGAGGCUGAGUCUUCGAAGGUGCAUUUGAAAAGAUUUUUAGUAUUAUUAAGGAGGAAGGAGGUUCUGAAGGGGGUGUUGUUGUGCACGUGAUUUAUUUCAUUUAAUUUUUUCGAGACUGUCUCAAGCUGCUGGACAAUCUUCUUCAUAGUAAUGCAUCAAAUCAGGUACUACUAAGGGAGACUGUGGGCUUUGACCCAUUAAUAUCACUCUUGAAACUAAGAGGAAGUGCUUACAGUUUCAGUCAACAGAAGGUUAAAUAUUCAAUUGUUUAUAGCUUAUGUGGCUUCUGUUUUUUCUCCAUGAUAUCACAAGCUAACAGGUCAUUUGCUGUUCUUCAUGAAACAAACAACAUGCCAGUAGACAAUUAAAAUAAUUAGUGAAUUGGAGACUAUUAAUUUGUUGAUGAUGGGAGGUUCAGAAGCUGAUCCUCAAAAAGACUUGAACAAGAUCACCAAUAAAACGGUCCUAGUUCAGGUUCAUUACGAAUCAUUUCUGCUUGAAUUGAAUGCCUAAGAGCUAUCUGUUUCACUGAUAGAUUAUCUUGUUUCUGGUUUUCUUGAUUGUAGAAAAAGUUGUUGGACCAUCUUGUAGAAAAUGUAUUGAUCCUAUGGAGCCAGUUAAAUCCUAAAACUUCUGUUGGAUUUAAUUAUGUUGUAUGUAUGUGUUAUGCGCCUUGGCGUAGGAUCUAGUCACAAGUCUAGAUGAGAAAGAAUUCUUGCUUCGACCUAUGGUUACUCAAAAGGCAGAUUCGUCCUUGAUUGAAUCCCCUUCCCAAA